UAAUUUUAAAAAUAAUUCAUACCUGAGGCUGAAUGCCUUGAUUAAAUCAGGAGAUCUUAAUUUUGAGAUUCAGUUAAUGAGCUUGUUGUCUUGGAUCAGUUUUGGCAACGAGUCCUCGCAGUGAGACUUACGAGUUGAAUUCGGUAUCAAAAGUUAUGCUCACAACAUACAAAAACUUUAUCCACAAAUGAUCAAUUCUUUCAUUCAAACACAACCUCUCAUAAUUAAUUUUAGAGAAAUUAAAUAAUACUAA
rnacentral:misc_RNA from 1 species